AGCACACCAAAAAUGAAGAGCUUUGGGAAUCUACUACAUAAUUCAGAAAAUCAAAUAAACAAUGUUGAACAGUUUGACUUUGGUGAAUUUGGAACUUAGAGCCCUGAUCCUCUAAAUAAAAUUCUGAAUCUCUGAAAGCUAUGUCCUAGCCUAGGAGGAUGAGACACGUCAAUCUCCAGUGGAAUAAAAAUUAUUAUCUUCACACUUAUUUGAAACUAUGUGGUUUUGUUUGACCAAGAUUUUCUGCAUGUGAGACUGGAAUGUUCCACCAUAUAGAAUUUUCCAGGUUCGGCAAAAAGUCAUUUUUUUCUGAAGUGUCAUCUGGGAUGUUUUUG